rnacentral:rRNA from 1 species
GACGAACGCUGGCGGCGUGCUUAACACAUGCAAGUCGAACGGAAAGGCCCUGCUUUUGUGGGGUGCUCGAGUGGCGAACGGGUGAGUAACACGUGAGUAACCUGCCCUUGACUUUGGGAUAACUUCAGGAAACUGGGGCUAAUACCGGAUAGGAGCUCCUGCUGCAUGGUGGGGGUUGGAAAGUGUCGGCGGUUGGGGAUGGACUCGCGGCUUAUCAGCUUGUUGGUGGGGUAGUGGCUUACCAAGGCGUUGACGGGUAGCCGGCCUGGGAGGGUGACCGGCCACAGUGGGAUUGGGGUACGGCCCGGAGGCCUAAGGGGGGCAGGAGUGGGGAAUAUUGCACGAUGGGCGGAAGGCUGAUGCAGGAACGCCGCGUGGGGGAUGACGGCCUUCGGGAUGUAAACCGCGUUCGCCUGUGACGAGGCGUGAGUGACGGAAAUGGAUAAAGAAGCACCGGCUAACUACGU